rnacentral:rRNA from 1 species
AGAGUUUGAUCCUGGCUCAGGAUGAACGCUAGCUACAGGCUUAACACAUGCAAGUCGAGGGGCAUCAGGAAGAAAGCUUGCUUUCUUUGCUGGCGACCGGCGCACGGGUGAGUAACACGUAUCCAACCUGCCCUUUACUCGGGGAUAGCCUUUCGAAAGAAAGAUUAAUACCCGAUAGUAUAAUGAUUCCGCAUGGUUUCAUUAUUAAAGGAUUCCGGUAAAGGAUGGGGAUGCGUUCCAUUAGGUUGUUGGUGAGGUAACGGCCCACCAAGCCUUCGAUGGAUAGGGGUUCUGAGAGGAAGGUCCCCCACAUUGGAACUGAGACACGGUCCAAACUCCUACGGGAGGCAGCAGUGAGGAAUAUUGGUCAAUGGACGAGAGUCUGAACCAGCCAAGUAGCGUGAAGGAUGACUGCCCUAUGGGUUGUAAACUUCUUUUAUACGGGAAUAAAGUGAGGCACGUGUGCCUUUUUGUAUGUACCGUAUGAAUAAGGAUCGGCUAACUCCGUGCCAGCAGCCGCGGUAAUACGGAGGAUCCGAGCGUUAUCCGGAUUUAUUGGGUUUAAAGGGAGCGUAGGCGGACGCUUAAGUCAGUUGUGAAAGUUUGCGGCUCAACCGUAAAAUUGCAGUUGAUACUGGGUGUCUUGAGUACAGUAGAGGCAGGCGGAAUUCGUGGUGUAGCGGUGAAAUGCUUAGAUAUCACGAAGAACUCCGAUUGCGAAGGCAGCUUACUGGACUGUAACUGACGCUGAUGCUCGAAAGUGUGGGUAUCAAACAGGAUUAGAUACCCUGGUAGUCCACACAGUAAACGAUGAAUACUCGCUGUUUGCGAUAUACAGUAAGCGGCCAAGCGAAAGCAUUAAGUAUUCCACCUGGGGAGUACGCCGGCAACGGUGAAACUCAAAGGAAUUGACGGGGGCCCGCACAAGCGGAGGAACAUGUGGUUUAA